UUGGUUAGUGGCAGACGGGUGAGUAAUGCAUAGGAAUCUACCUAGUAGUAUGGGAUAGCCACUGGAAAUGGUGGGUAAUACCGUAUAAUCCCCGCGGGGGAAAGAUUUAUCGCUAUUAGAUGAGCCUAUGUCGGAUUAGCUAGUUGGUGGGGUAAUGGCCUACCAAGGCAGUGAUCUGUAGCUGGUCUGAGAGGAUGAUCAGCCACACUGGAACUGAGACACGGUCCAGACUCCUACGGGAGGCAGCAGUGGGGAAUAUUGGACAAUGGGCGCGAGCCUGAUCCAGCUAUGCCGCGUGAGUGAGGAAGGCCUUAGGGUUGUAAAACUCUUUCAGUAGGGAAGAUAAUGACGGUACCUA
rnacentral:rRNA from 1 species